GCGGGAGUGGCGGAAUCGGCAGACGCGCAGGUCUUAGGAACCUGUGUCCGUGAGGGCGUAGGGGUUCAAGUCCCCUCUCCCGCA
rnacentral:tRNA from 1 species